CGUGUAGGCGGUACGGUAAGUCAGAUGUGAAAGCCCUCGGCUCAACCGAGGAAGUGCAUUUGAAACUGCCGAACUAGAGUACGGGAGAGGGUUGUAGAAUUCCCGGUGUAGAGGUGAAAUUCGUAGAUAUCGGGAGGAAUACCGGUGGUGAAGGCGGCAACCUGGACCGAUACUGACGCUGAGACGCGAAAGCGUGGGGAGCAAACAGGAUUAGAUACCCUGGUAGUCC
rnacentral:rRNA from 1 species